rnacentral:rRNA from 1 species
GUGGGGAAUAUUGGACAAUGGGCGAAAGCCUGAUCCAGCCAUGCCGCGUGUGUGAAGAAGGUCUUCGGAUUGUAAAGCACUUUAAGUUGGGAGGAAGGGCAGUAAGUUAAUACCUUGCUGUUUUGACGUUACCGACAGAAUAAGCACCGGCUAACUUCGUGCCAGCAGCCGCGGUAAUACGAAGGGUGCAAGCGUUAAUCGGAAUUACUGGGCGUAAAGCGCGCGUAGGUGGUCUUGUAAGUUGGAGGUGAAAUCCGCGGGCUCAACCUGGGAACUGCCUCCAAAACUGCAUGACUAGAGUACGGUAGAGGGUAGUGGAAUUUCCUGUGUAGCGGUGAAAUGCGUAGAUAUAGGAAGGAACACCAGUGGCGAAGGCGACUACCUGGACUGAUACUGACACUGAGGUGCGAAAGCGUGGGGAGCAAACAGGAUUAGAUACCCCGGUAGUCC